CCUACGGGAGGCAGCAGUGAGGAAUAUUGGUCAAUGGGCGCGAGCCUGAACCAGCCAAGUCGCGUGAGGGAUGAAGGUUCUAUGGAUCGUAAACCUCUUUUAUAAGGGAAUAAAGUGCGGGACGUGUCCCGUUUUGUAUGUACCUUAUGAAUAAGGAUCGGCUAACUCCGUGCCAGCAGCCGCGGUAAUACGGAGGAUCCGAGCGUUAUCCGGAUUUAUUGGGUUUAAAGGGUGCGUAGGCGGCCUUUUAAGUCAGGGGGGAAAUUCUGGGGCUCACCCAUAGAAUGGCGGUGGAAACUGGGGGGCUUGAGUAUGUUUGAGGCAGGCGGAAUUCGUGGUGUAGCGGUGAAAUGCUUAGAUAUCACGCAGAACCCCGAUUGCGAAGGCAGCCUGCCAAGCCAUGACUGACGCUGAUGCACGAAAGCGUGGGGAUCAAACAGGAUUAGAUACCCUGGUAGUCCACGCAGUAAACGAUGAUCACUAGCUGUUUGCGAUACAUUGUAAGCGGCACAGCGAAAGCGUUAAGUGAUCCACCUGGGGAGUACGCCGGCAACGGUGAAACUCAAAGGAAUUGACGGGGGCCCGCACAAGCGGAGGAACAUGUGGUUUAAUUCGAUGAUACGCGAGGAACCUUACCCGGGUUUGAACGCAUUCGGACCGAGGUGGAAACACCUUUUCUAGCAAUAGCCGUUUGCGAGGUGCUGCAUGGUUGUCGUCAGCUCGUGCCGUGAGGUGUCGGCUUAAGUGCCAUAACGAGCGCAACCCUUGCCACUAGUUACUAACAGGUGAUGCUGAGGACUCUGGUGGGACUGCCAGCGUAAGCUGCGAGGAAGGCGGGGAUGACGUCAAAUCAGCACGGCCCUUACAUCCGGGGCGACACACGUGUUACAAUGGCGUGGACAAAGGGAGGCCACCUGGCGACAGGGAGCGAAUCCCCAAACCACGUCUCAGUUCGGAUCGGAGUCUGCAACCCGACUCCGUGAAGCUGGAUUCGCUAGUAAUCGCGCAUCAGCCAUGGCGCGGUGAAUACGUUCCCGGGCCUUGUACACACCGCCCGUCAAGCCAUGGGAGCCGGGGGUACCUGAAGUCCGUAACCGAAAGGAUCGGCCUAGGGUAAAACUGGUGACUGGGGCUAAGUCGUAACAAGGUAGCCGUACCGGAAGGUGCGGCUG
rnacentral:rRNA from 1 species